rnacentral:rRNA from 1 species
CCGUUGCCGCGACCGGCGCACGGUGAGUAACACGUAUGCAACCUGCCCGUCGGCAGGGGGAGUAAGCGGGGGAAACCCCGUCUAAUACCGCGUAACGCGGCCUAGGGACAUCCCAAGGCCGCCAAAGGGAGCAAUCCCGGCCACGGAUGGGCAUGCGGCGCAUUAGCUAGUCGGCGGGGUAACGGCCCACCGAGGCGACGAUGCGUAGGGGUUCUGAGAGGAAGGCCCCCCACACUGGUACUGAGACACGGACCAGACUCCUACGGAAGGCAGCAG